GCCGCUUCUUGGUCUUUUGGCUAAGAUCAGGUGUAGUAUCUAUUCUUAUCAGUUUAAUAUCUGAUACGCCCUCUAUCUGGGGGCCAUGUAUUAAAUAGAUUUUUUAGGACAGGGAGAUGGAAGAAGAGCUUGCUCUGUCCACUCCACGCAUUGACCCGGUAUUGCAGUACCUCCGGGACCGGUGCACCUUUC